rnacentral:lncRNA from 1 species
AGCACAAUCACGGUGAUUACCCCACCAGCAGAGUAACUCCUGUCGCUGCCAGCGGGGACAGUCCCAAGUGACCAGGGAGCAGGUGGAGAUCUAAAGUCCAUGGGAGAAGAGAAGAAGCCCUCCUCCCACCUCCCCACGCCAGGGACCAGCCCCUCGAAUUCCGCAGAGCCUGGAGUUGCAGGAACAGGAAGCAGAGAAUUCCCAAGUAAGUUACUUACUGCUCAGGCUCCAUGUUCUCCCUGUAAAAUGGAGAUGAUCAUACCCACCUCUGAGAAGUGCUGUGAUCAGGACAAAGUGAAAUUCUUGGUACAGUGUCUGGCACCUAGUAAGUACUUAAAUGCACAGCUCCCUGCCUUCCUUCCUUCUUUUAAAAAGUCAGAGGCAGUCCCGUGGCCGAGUGGUUAAGUUCAUGUGCUCUGAUUCAGUGGCCCGGGGUUCACCAGUUCGGAUCCUGGGCAUGGACCUACACACCGCUCAUCAGCCAUGCUGUGGUGGCAUCCCACAUAGAACUGGAAUGACUUACAACUAGGAUUUACAACUAUGUACUGGGGCUUUGGGGAGGGAAAAAAAAAGAGGAUGAUUGGCAACAGAUGUUGGCUCAGGGCCAAUCUUCCUCACCACCCCCCCCCAAGCAUAAAUAAAAAAAUAAACAUUUAAAAUAAAAAGCCACCUAGCCCAUCAUGCCCUUUACCCAUGCUGGUCAUAUUUCCUAGAUAACAUCAGAAUACUCUGUAUAGCAAGGGGGUAGAAUAUGUCACGUGAGUUGUCAAAACAUUUGGACUAUCUCCUCUUCGUUUGUUGACAGGCGUUAAAAACUGCCUGUGCUAUGCAUCGGGAUGCCUCAUCUCCCCGGGCUGGGCCACUGUUGUGCACCACAAUAAGCUGGACACUUCAUGUCACUCCACCUCCCUCACCUCUUCUAGGAUCCUUGUCAAGUUGUUUUCUCUGAGCCUGUUUUUUUCACUUGUGAAAUGGGAGUAAGAAUACUUACCUCCUCAGGGUCAUUUGCAGAUUAUACUGGAGCAUUUGGGAAAGCAUGUGGCAAUUGGUAUGUACUCAAUAGGUUAAAAAAAAAAUCUUCCUUAUGCCAAGAGGUCGACAAGGGUGCCGGCCGGAUGCUGACACGGCUUGCUACUCUGUGUGGUCUUGGG